CAAGUGAAGAUAAUUAACAGGAGGAAGCGCUUUGUCUGAAGAAACAAACUCAUGCUUCGUAAAGAGAAGAAUGUGACCAACCUGUGAUGUGGAAUUUCAGUCUGAAAAACACUUUUCUCUAGACAUCUCUUGGAAACAAGCAACUUCAGAUUCAAAAGCAACUGCUGUGUGGCACAUUUUACCUGGAGUAGAAAACACAACUGGUUUCUUUUAAUUAGGGUGAAAAUGCAUGUGAUGGAUAAUAUAUCUGGGUGGUAGGCUGCUGGUUUUUCAUGAAGUUGUUUGUGCACAUGCACUGUUCCCAAGGGUGACUGAUAUCUCAGAAUGAGGAUGCAGAUAAAUCACGACUAACUUCAGUGGAAGGACGUGUACACUGCAGCUGGUACUUCCAAACAGCCCAAUGUAAUUUAAUGUCUGGGUAGAGGUUACAUAUUCCCAGUAACUAAAGCCUGGAACUUGACAUCAGCACUGUGAGGAUACUGAAUAGUCACUGCCUCAACACACUGUAAUUUUUAACCAUGUUUUAGAAAGCAAAAAAGGAGGCACUUGUGUUGUUUUACAUGCGAUUUCAAAGAUGGAUGAAUCCGCCUUGGAAAGACUACUACAUCCCAAAGGAGUUAGCCCACCUGCACAGCAUCAGUAAGGCAUCUGCUGCCCCAAGCAAGCACACUUGUCAGUGAAAAGCUGGGGGGUGAUGCUCACUUCUCCUGGGCACACUGAUACUUCAGCAGGACAGAGCAUAUGCUGAACUGGGAGGUGAGGGACACUAUGGAAGUUGAUGAGUCUCCACUGUAUCUGUUUACAUCUGUGAGCUGUGCUGGGGCUGAGCAUCUACCUGUCUAAAGCUCAUAGCCUAUACAAGGUGCUCUACAACACACGUGUGUCUGUGAAACAUCUGCCCUUCUCUCCCUCGCGCUGAAGAGCUGUGAAUGAAGAAUGAAUGAAGAAGCACUGCUGUAAGUUGAAGAACAUUCCUUUCCAUAAACCACAUGUAGCCUUUAAGAUAAGUGGCUAAAUUGUUUUUGUUUUUUAACUGAGAACAAGUUUUACUUGGUUAUAAUGAAAUAUGCUAAAUGCAUGUUCUGAACACAGGUGUAACUCAUUGAGUCUGAUAACUCCUAAGUUGAGUUCUGUACAAGAAAAAUCUUUUGUGCUGUAGCUGCAAAACAUUUUGCUAAAAGCAACCUGAUCCUGUGCCUUGUUUGUUAGCAGCCCAUUUACUCAGCCACUGCUUCCUUGUUCUUCUUACGUAAACUUCCUCAAAGCAAAAACAUUGGAAACAUUUUCCACUGCAAAUGUGUCCAGCAGAAGUCAAUAAACAAAGAAGUAAACACGGGUCUGUAAAUUCAGAGAGCCAUCUACUGGCAGCUAAGUGAAACGAAUUAAAUUAAUGAAGGGCCAAAUCUCUGCCUCUCUCUUGAAAGUCGUUUCUUUGAAGUUGAGGAACCACACAUGAACAAACCGUACAUGCAUGGUUAUCGUUUCAAGAGGUGUGGCAAGAGUGAAGAUGUUGGUGUUCUCAGGGCAAGGAAGAGCAGCCUCAUUUGCCCAGUGCCCAGAUUCUACUGGGUGAAUGGGCAACUAAGGAUAGCAGAGUAAAGGAGUGAGGAGUGUGGGGGCGCCUGUAGCCUUCCUCACAUUCCUCACGUCCAUGCUAUUUCUUUUAUAGACAGCUCAAGUCAGGCGUAGCAAAAACUAAUGGAGCCGAGGUGCCCUAUGUGUAGUGUUUCAAAGAUCAGUUUUAAAGGGAACAGUGGUCUUCAUUGGUGCCAUCAGAAGAUCAGAAGUUACACACAGCAAGAGAGAUACGCUGCGGCUCUGGGGACUGAAUUUAAAUCAUGUCAACUACUGCAAAACAGCUGUGCAUAAAACAGCCGCCUGCCUAGAGCAAAAUUUCCCAGCCCCUGAGCCUGUCCCAGUGGAGGAUCACGUUUCCUUUCUUAGGGACAGCAGUGCUCUUCCCCAGCCUGAUCCCGGGAUAGGGUAUGAAAAUCAGUUUUUGGACGGAGUGAGUGGUAUGAGCAGAAUCACACUGGUAAAAUCUGUGGAGGCAAAUACCUAAACUGCAAUGUCCGCAGGGGGCCAUGCUCAGUUUGUCCCUUUCAUCUCGGAGAGGUGCUUUGAGGAUGGUGCACAUAGUGCUGCCACAAUUGCUUCCACGGGCAGACGGACACAGCAGGCACACGUGAGCAGGGUGACACUCUGGGAGAGAGGUGGCUUGGCUGUAAAGGGACCGCUGGGCUGACAGCACAGUCACAAAGUCUGUGCAUGCACGUGGGAAAGCAACAUGGGAGAAUCCUUUGUUCUCUGAAAGGUUUCCUCAGAUGUACACGGUUCUUUGUUGCUUUGCUGUGCGCUCGCAUUAGCUAUUAACCUUGAAGAUUCCAGUUUCUUUGGGAAACCCAUGACAUUCUACAGUAACAGGUUUGCUUCAGAAACAAAAUAUUCAUCACAGCUGUUAAAUUUUAAUUAAAAACACUUCUAGUCUUUACAAAGCUCUGCAUUCUUUAUCUAACCAUUCUAUUUCCAGUAGUGUUGCUAAGCACAAACAACGCUGUUAGAAGUGUGUCUGUUUUCUGCUCUUGAAUGAGUGGGAGUGACCUUAGAGUAAAAUAUUCUAACAAGCGGCUCUGAGAGCAGCAGAAUUACACAGCCUGGAUUGCAGUGUUCUCCCUUUAUCCUAUCACAGCAUCUCUUUCUACUUAAGCAGCUGUUCCACAAAAACUGGAGGUAUGUAGUAUCUUCAAGGCUCUACAAACCUGAUUACGUUGCAGAGUGAUCAUAAAACUUUCCAAAGGGAAAUGGACCAGAAAUGGCUUACUUCCCUAGGAAAUUAAACUAAAAAUAAGCAAUGAAAAAUUCUCUUCUUUCCAGCUGCUUGACCUAAGGUCUGCACUGUUUACAAAACACACACACGGCUGUUUCUAAACAUACUGCAUAUUACUGAUGGAUGCUCAGAUCCCAGGGGUGAACUAGCAGCCUAGCUGCAGAUACAGGAGCAUCCUCAUUCUCCUAACUGCCCAGCAAUUUGGUGCUGUCUUACCGUUCUGUAGUGCACAGAAGUGGUGUUACCAUGGUAUCUCAGACAUCCAUAAAGCAGAGAGCAUCUUCUCUAAUUCUUAGUCUUUUUGAUGCUGCCUCUUUGUGUUACCUGUUUCGCUCACCUACUAAAAAAGGAAAGACAAAUUACAUCUUCCAUAAUCACAGAUUUGAAAUAUUUCAUUACUCAUACCACACUAAUUUAGCACAAAUAGAUGGUUUGCAUGGCCUUUAUGGUAUUAAAAUGUUGCAAGCGUCGACUAUGUGACGUUUGUUAGAAUUCUGUUGAACGCAACAUGUUUUCUCCCACUCCUUCUGCAAAUCUUUCCUACAGAGAAGGCAUUAGUCAAGGUGAAGGAAACUCUCUUUACAGGUAGUUAUUUAUGGUUGCCUGUGGAAUUAUUUUGCAAUCAAAGCUUUGUUUUGCAUGAUCUGACUGAUGCAAAAAGCAGAAAAUAAAUAUCUUCAUUCUCAUAACCUGAUUGCCUGAGGGAUUUACAAUGUAUAUCCAGAUGGCAUAUUGUGUGGCCUAUCAAAUAAGGGCAUGGUUAUUAAAUUUCAGAGCAGGAAGGUGCAGGCAACUAAUUUCAGGCAAGGGAACAGUCAUUUCAUUUGAUCAACUGAAUAAUUCUUUGUUCAAUAUUUACCCAAAUCCAAGCCAUGUGAGCUACUGAGCUCUCAAUAUUCGAGACCAUACACAAACAGACAAGCACAUUCAUCUUUGUCUUUGAAAAUAUAAGCAAAGAUGAAACUUUAAAGAACUAUUAUUUCUAAAACGGGUCAUAACAUUUGGAAGGCGGGAGGCCUGUCUCCUUCUGCACUGACAGAUUACCUGGACUGUAGGGACAGUCUUUCAUGACUUUAAUACAAACAGCAAGCGUGUUUUACUUUAAAAUCUUUAUCUUGGCUUGGAAUACGUACAGGGUGUGAAUGCAACUUUCCCUGCAUCACCGCUCCUUUCCAGCUUUGGGAAGAAACAGCAACAGCUGCUGUGUGGAGAUGCUCACUGCUGGAGCUUGAAGGAUUCCCCCAAAGGGCUGGGAUGGCUGAUUUAUGGGCGUGCAGCGGUGAGCUGAAGGGCAGGAGGGAGUGGAGUGCUGAGCUCCUACAUCCCGGCUCCAACCCAACAGCUACAUCCUUGAAACAAGGUUUGUCUUCUGCUUUGCACAUUAAUACCCAAGAUCUCGUGUGCUUGUGGACCCGAUCCACGUGGCAGUAGAUAAAAGAAAAAGCAGCCAACAUUAAAGCCAGUCGUUGGCACUUAUCCUUCUGAAGGUUAACUUUAGACCUGGUACUACAAUGUGCUGGCUAUAAAAAAUAUGUAAGCACAACCGGACGGCCUCCGGCCAGCAGAAGGCAGUCAAAUCACUACGUGGAAAGAAAAAAAAAAAGCAUGUUUUCCUCAUGAACUCAAAGGUGUGCUGCUGCAGUGCCAAGCGCAGGGACGGCCUUACUCAAGGGGAGUGUGGGCGGAGGACAGACUGAUGAAGAACCGACUUCAUGAAAUGCUACAACCAACCGCUCAGCAGGCUGCUCCUCUCAGGAAAUUGAGAGGUGCGAUUCCUCUGGCGUACUUUUAGAACAUAAACUUUAAAAAGCGAUUUGAAGUGCCAGCACGCACUGAAGUUUCUGCUGGGGAUUUAAAUCCCAUCGGCCCUCAGAGAACGUGAGGAUUUUGGAGCCAUUUUGCUGCGGUGGAGCUACAGCGGCUGUGCGUGAGGGGCUGCG
ensembl:lncRNA